rnacentral:rRNA from 1 species
GACGAACGCUGGCGGCGUGCUUAACACAUGCAAGUCGAACGGAAAGGCCCUGCUUUUGUGGGGUGCUCGAGUGGCGAACGGGUGAGUAACACGUGAGUAACCUGCCCUUGACUUUGGGAUAACUUCAGGAAACUGGGGCUAAUACCGGAUAGGAGCUCCUGCUGCAUGGUGGGGGUUGGAAAGUUUCGGCGGUUGGGGAUGGACUCGCGGCUUAUCAGCUUGUUGGUGGGGUAGUGGCUUACCAAGGCUUUGACGGGUAGCCGGCCUGAGAGGGUGACCGGCGUCAUUGGGCCUGAGAUACGGCCCAGAGUCCUACGGGAGGCAACAGUGGGGAAUAUUGCACAGUGGGCGGAAGCCUGAUGCAGCAGCGCCGCGUUCGGGAUGACGGCCUUCGGGUUGUAAACCGCUUUCGCCUGUGACGAAGCGUGAGUGACGGUAAUGGGUAAAGAAGCACCGGCUAACUACGUG